UGAUAAUUAGAGAUCUACCCGUGGCACUAUACACUUUUUCAAAAUUCCACUAAUAUCCCUAUACUUCUAAUCUUCUAGGCUCUCUCCAAAUAUUCUCCUGAGAUAUGAUGUCAGAAAAUUCAGACGGUGGGACCACUUGUUUAAUCUAUUAACUUAGUCAAUUAUCUUAUUUCACAUUAUAGGUGAAACAAAAAUAUCUCUGUCAAAGGAGAG
rnacentral:lncRNA from 1 species